rnacentral:lncRNA from 10 species
CAGGGUCCUUGAGAUGACUGCUGAUAACACAGAAUAGUGCCUAGCCUUGAAGGCGCCUGCUACAUAGGGGGUAGUUCAUAAAUUGUAACUCAUCAUUAGUAUUAACACUUGUUGCAGAUUAUUACUUAUCUACAAGUUACAAGCAUGCUUAUGUGCUUUAAAAAUCACCAGUCCUUUAGCACACAAGUACAUGACAACCACUACCCCUUAGCCAGAGUCUACCAGAUCAAUAAUUUCACUUCCUUUACUGCAUCCUGUUGACCAGGUCCAGCUUCCACUUCAAAGUUACCUCACGUUGUCCACAUUGAUACUGCCGCCAUCUCUCCCAGGAGAUGUGGAGAGGGAAGUGGGACAGUCAGCAGCCUUUUAUGCUGCCCUUUAUAUGCUUGCUCUAAUUCUUUUACGCUGUGCUCUGCUUGCCUCUCUUUUAUCCCGCUCUUGAUUCAUUCAUUUAUCAAACAGUUAUUGAGUGUCCGUGUACUAGGUUGAAUACUAGGGAUACAAAGUUGACAAAGGCAUAGUCAUGCCCUUAAGAAUAUCACAGUCCAGUGGGAGAAGGAGACGUGAGCAGAUAACUGCAGUGCAAUUAGAUCCUCUCCCUAGCUCUUACAACAAAUACCCAGUUCCUGUGGGUUUGUAACAUCUCGUUAUUCCUGAAGGAACAGAUCUGGAAGAAGGCAGACUUUUCUGUAAGCCCAAAAAUUCUUCAGGGUUCCUGGUCGCCCAGCAUGGCCAGGGUCUCAAACCGUCUAAUUCAAUCUGCUCUAAUGGAGUCAAGCUGACAGUAAAGAGAAGAUCAGAAACAGCGAGUCUAAUCUGCCUAUAUGGGAGAAAAUUCAGCAAACAGGAACCAGCUCAGAGACCAAGAAAACCAAACAAGGUUAUUAACCCACAUCAGAACACCAGAGAGAUAACAAGAAGUUGGUUCCAAGAUGAAAAAUGCAAGAGAGAAGCAGAUUGUGGAAUAAAAGAGAGGAUGUUCCAUGUUCAUAUACACCUGAUUGUAGUUAGAGCCUCACCCUUCCUUUCUAUCUCAGCAGGGACCUUCUGGAAAAGCUUUUCAUUCUGUGCACUUUUCUUUCUCUGGCUUUCUUUGUCUCUAGAUUUUCUUUGUUCUGUGCCUGAUCUGUCAUAAUCCUCUGAGGUUUUAUUCUCAUUCCUCUGCAUCCCCCCCUGAAAAAAAUCUUAUUUUCUUACAAUUUCAGGUAUCCCAUAAUACUAAUUAUGGCUAAGCACCUCUUUGUUUCUAUGUGGAUCUUUUCUUGAAUCCUUGUUUCAUACCAUUAACUGCAUACAAAAUAUCUCUAUUUAGAAAUGAUAUUGCAAUUUCAAACUCAACUGUAUGAAAGUAUUUUUAUUGGUAUCUUAAAAACACAUUUCCACUGAUAAUACCAAUAUUUGAGUACUCCUCACCUUGUGUUCAGAUUACUGCAAUGCAUUCCUAUCAGGUAAUUCUUCCUUCAAUCUCCUGCACCUCAAAUCCAACUUAUUAAUAUCUUCAAAUUUAAAAGAAUUAAAUUCCAUUUUUAGCAUAUUAUCCCUCUGAUUGAAAGGAAAAAAUCUUAAUUUUUUUGUUACAAUAAAAUUUCUUAACUUAAAAUCAGCUGAGAACUCUUGCUGUGUUUGAGGUUACAAAAGUGCUUAACUAGAGACUGUAACAACACUAUUCAGCCAACAACAGGGGUUAUUUUUAGAAUCCUACUUACCAUUAGAAUUCUAAAUUUGAACCUGGACUUGCAGGUUACUAUGAGGACAUAUUUGUCAAUGUUGGAGAAUGCAACAUAUUAUAUUUAACAAUUUGUUUUCCUAGUUUGUUAUUUCAUGUAUGUAGGUAUAAUAUGCAAUUGUACUCCUGCCCCACCCUUGAAAAUCUAGUGGAUGAGCCUAGAAAGAAACCUGAGGAAUCUGAUAAGACAUGAGCAGAGGCAGAAACUUCAGCAAUUGUGGUGGCAACAGCCACAAGGGAGUGUAUGAGGUAAAGUUUGAAGAUCUACUAAUACAUUUAAGUUAGAAGAUUGAGGAAUAAAGUCUAUAUUCAUUAACCCAUCAUUACUAACCCUUCAUACAGUUCAUCAAACAUUCUUCGCUCGUGCUUUUAAAAUGGAAUACCAUGCUCUGCCUCCCCUUUCCCACUUCACCCCACCUGCACCUCACAUACCCUGACUGCUUUGAAUCUUUCUGCAAACACUGAGUACUCAACCUUCUAUAAACUCCUACUCUACUCCCUAUACUACAUUUUUCUCCUAACUCCUAAGGCACAUUUUUGUCUAUCUUGGUCAUUUGGAAAUUAGCAUUCCCAAUUUUAUUCAGCCUUGUAAACUUCUUAAUGUUAUAAACACCAUAUACAAAAGCUCUUCUAGAUUGUGAUCUUGUUGAGUUAAAGUACCAUGGCUUACUGAUCUCUCUUAGUGAAGAGGGAAUGUACCGAACCAUGUUAAAUACCCAGAUGAAGUGAGUUAAAGUUAUUUUCCCAAUGUUUGUUUCUUACGGGUGUUCCCUGAAAAAGGAUUUAGCGUUAAAAUAAGUUUGGGCAGUUUUUACAAAGUUAAGCAUGUUUCUUUACUUCAAUGCUUAUCAGAGCCUUUAAUAUACUAUUAAAUAUGAUUAAUAUCUAAAAACAAAUAAUAGUGAAGAGUUGACCAUAUUUAUUGACCUUUUUUUCAAGAAUAUCUUACACAGCUAGUGUUACAUAAUAGAUACUUUUGAAAAGCCUGGCUUAAAAGCUAGUCCUCAAUCAACUAUCUACAUAUGUAUUAUUCAUAUGUAGUAUAUAAUACCAAAUUUUCGUAUGUAUUCAAAAGGCUACUUUUUACUUUGACAUCCCCAUUCCAACUCUGGGAAAUUGUUCAGACUCUACAAAACUAUCUGAUACGCACAUUUCCUGCUCACUCAGUCUUUAGAGAUAAAAAUUCAGGUCUCUUUUACAAAAUAUAGUGAUGGACUGAUCUCCAUGUCCAUUGAUAAAAGAUCCAGAGUGAAUAGCUUUAUAUCAAAACAUGAAAUAUUACGAUUCUAGUUAUUAACUGGAAUGUGUUAAGGAGGCAGAUGAGAGAUAGAAUCUUUCGCUCUGAAGAGCAUCUGAUUUUUCAUGGCUAAAAAUGGUUUUGACAUCUGUGAGGUGGACCUUAUCAGGAUUUCUUGGGUUGUAAGCAUCCUGUGGACAGACACAACGGCUUUCUUAGUUUUAUAAAGUAUCUUAAGAGAACAUCAGCUAAGAAUAUUGACAGUAACAAUGAACAGAAUGCUUUUUGCUCCCUCCCUCACAGAGAUGCUGUGAAAAUUAAUGACGGGCAGUCUGAUAAGUUUCUUGAGCUCCUUUGGGUAAGAUCAUAUAAAAUGUAAAGUAUUUUCACAUAAUGAUGUUUUUGUCUAAGUCUGUAAGCAUUUGUAAAUUAUAUGAUCUUAAAAUACAUGGUCAGUGAAGCAUUAACUUCUUUGAGAGGCA